rnacentral:tRNA from 1 species
UCCGGUAUGGUGUAUCGGCUAGCAUCGUUCGCUUUCAUGGUCUAUCCAGAGAGUUUCCGAACAGAGCCGGGUUCGAUUCCCGGUACCGGAA